GACGAACGCUGGCGGCGUGCUCAACACAUGCAAGUCGAACGGAAAGGCCUCUUUCGGGGGGUACUCGAGUGGCGAACGGGUGAGUAACACGUGAGUAACCUGCCCUUGACUUUGGGAUAACUUCAGGAAACUGGGGCUAAUACCGGAUAGGAGCUCCUGCUGCAUGGUGGGGGUUGGAAAGUUUCGGCGGUUGGGGAUGGACUCGCGGCGUAUCAGCUCGUUGGUGGGGUAGUGGCUUACCAAGGCUUUGACGGGUAGCCGGGCUGGGAGGGUGACCGGCCCCAAUUGGGAUGGGAAAAGGGCCAGACUCCUACGGGGGGGAGGAGGGGGGAAAUAUGGAACAAGGGGGGGAGCCUGGAGCAAGCAAGCCGGGGGCGGGGUGACGGGCCUCGGGUUGUAAACCGCUUUCGCUCAGGGAGAAGCUGUGUGUGACGGUAGUGGGUAAAGAAGCACCGGCUAACUACGUG
rnacentral:rRNA from 1 species